rnacentral:sRNA from 1 species
GCCAGGUGCGGUGCUGCACACCUGUAAUCCCAGCAUCUAGGGAGUCUGAGGCAGGAGGAUUGUGAGUUCAAAAGACCCUAUCUCUA